rnacentral:rRNA from 1 species
UUUUGCGCAUGGGGGAAACCCUGNCGCAGCAACGCCGCGUGGAGGAUGAAGUCCUUCGGGACGUAAACUCCUUUCGAUCGGGACGAUUAUGACGGUACCGGAAGAAGAAGCCCCGGCUAACUUCGUGCCAGCAGCCGCGGUAAUACGAGGGGGGCGAGCGUUGUUCGGAAUUAUUGGGCGUAAAGGGUGCGUAGGCGGUUUGGUAAGUCUUAUGUGAAAUCUAUGGGCUCAACUCAUAGACUGCAUGAGAAACUGCCGGGCUUGAGUGUGGGAGAGGUGAGUGGAAUUUCCGGUGUAGCGGUGAAAUGCGUAGAUAUCGGAAGGAACACCUGUGGCGAAAGCGGCUCACUGGACCACAACUGACGCUGAUGCACGAAAGCUAGGGGAGCAAACAGGAUUAGAUACCCUGGUAGUCCUAGCCCUAAACCAUGACUGCUUGGUGUGACGGGUACCCAAUCCCGCCGUGCCGUAGCUAACGCGUUAAGCAGUCCGCCUGGGGAGUACGGUCGCAAGGCUGAAACUCAAAGAAAUUGACGG